UACGAAGGGUGCAAGCGUUGUUCGGAUUUACUGGGCGUAAAGCGUCCGUAGGUGGUUUGUUAAGUCAGGGGUGAAAUCCCGGGGCCUAACCCCGGAACUGCCUUUGAUACUGGCAAGCUGGAGCGCGAUAGAGGAAGAUGGAAUAUCUGGUGUAGGGGUGAAAUCCGUAGAUAUCAGAUAGAACACCAAUGGCGAAGGCAGUCUUCUGGAUCGUUGCUGACACUGAGGGACGAAAGCGUGGGUAG
rnacentral:rRNA from 1 species